GACGAACGCUGGCGGCGUGCUUAACACAUGCAAGUCGAACGGAAAGGCCCAGCUUGCUGGGUACUCGAGUGGCGAACGGGUGAGUAACACGUGGGUGAUCUGCCCUGCACUCUGGGAUAAGCCUGGGAAACUGGGUCUAAUACCGGAUAUGACCGACUGUCGCAUGGUGGUUGGUGGAAAGCUUUUGCGGUGUGGGAUGGGCCCGCGGCCUAUCAGUUUGUUGGUGGGGUAAUGGCCUACCAAGGCGACGACGGGUAGCCGACCUGAGAGGGUGAUCGGCCACACUGGGACUGAGACACGGCCCAGACUCCUACGGGAGGCAGCAGUGGGGAAUAUUGCACAAUGGGCGCAAGCCUGAUGCAGCGACGCCGCGUGAGGGAUGACGGCCUUCGGGUUGUAAACCUCUUUCACCAGGGACGAAGCGUGAGUGACGGUACCUGGAGAAGAAGCACCGGCCAACUACGUG
rnacentral:rRNA from 1 species